rnacentral:rRNA from 1 species
GAUGAACGCUGGCGGCGUGCUUAAUACAUGCAAGUCGAACGAAGUCAGUAGCAAUAUUGGCUGAGUGGCGAACGGGUGAGUAACGCGUUGGUGACCUGCCCCGAAGUGAGGGAUAACAGCUCGAAAGUGCUGCUAAUACCCCAUGUGGUCAUGAGGGUUAGAUGCCUUAUGACUAAAGGAGUAAUCCGCUUCGGGAGGGGCCUGCGUCCCAUCAGCUAGUUGGUAGGGUAAUGGCCUACCAAGGCGACGACGGGUAGGGGACCUGAGAGGGUGACCCCCCACACUGGCACUGAAACACGGGCCAGACACCUACGGGAGGCUG